GCAAAACGUACAUUUCAUUGCUCAAUAAAACCAUAAAAGGUACAUGACACAGCAUAAGAUAUCCAUAACUAAAAUAUUUACAGAAAAAGGACUAUCAAAUGUGUGUCGCUAUAAAGUUGAAGGCACUUAGCUAACUGUUAAAUGAAACGGAAGCACUUCGUGCAUUCUUAGAAGUAUAUGCCCCAAAUUAAAACAUAAGCAUAUGCCGCCCAUCAACAUGCAUAACAUGGGCUGAUUUAAAGCGCAUAGUUAGCCCGCAACUGACAUUUCAUCUCCAGAAGCAAGACUGGCUUGAUCAAACAACUCAGGGUGAGCUACCUCAACAAAAUUCUCUUUUCUGCUCUUUUUCAGUAUGAGUUAAUCCAGCUUUAUUAGUUUUCCCUUUGUCGUCAAUCCAAGGAGCUCCCUUGACAACUUCAAUUUGAUUCAGAACGAGUUCAUCUCCAAACAAUAAGUCCUCCUCUUAACCAACAUCCUUGCAGCCGUCCCAUAGGGCUCCUCAAAUGCUGCUGCCACCCAAUUCCCAUCUGGCCCAACCUCUCUCUUAGGUUGCUCACUAGGCCUAAUUGCUACCAAUGUCGCCCCUUUAAGCACUGUCCCAUCAGGUAACUCUAAAUGUGGGGCGUACCACAACCUCAUGUUCAGUGCUGGCACCAUGGUCCUUUUCGAGGCCGAUGAAGCUGAAAGAGGCUUUACUCUCAACUCCUCCAGCUGCUCCCUGUUCAUACACAAUACUCCUUGCCCAUCAACAUCCGUCAAAACCAAACUCGCAAGCUUCUUAUGCUCUGCUAUAAUCGGCUGCAGCAGAUAAUGCCUUGCAGAAGCUGCUAUCAAAGAACUAAUCGUCCACACAACACGCAAUUUCAAACCCCCAUUAGUGUAAAACGACUCAGGUAUGCUCCCAUUAUCUGUUUCUCCAUUACCAUCACCCAAACUGUUACUUCCAUUUCCACACUGUUCCUCGACUAAAUCGUCAAUACUUACCGGUUGAAUCACCGAAGACGCCCCAAGAAUAACACAAUUAUCAAGAGUAGAACCAAAAUCAGCUCUCCACUUGAGCAAAGCACCUUCAUCAAUACCCAAUUCCCCACUA
rnacentral:misc_RNA from 1 species